CAGCCGCCGCGGUAAUACGUAGGGGGCAAGCGUUAUCCGGAAUUACUGGGUGUAAAGGGAGCGUAGACGGUUAAACAAGUCUGAAGUGAAAUGCCGGGGCUCAACCCCGGAGCUGCUUUGGGAACUGUAGAACUGGAGUGUCGGAGGGGUAAGCGGAAUUCCCAGUGUAGCGGUGAAAUGCGUAGAUAUUGGGAGGAACACCGGCGGCGAAGGCGGCUUACUGGACGACAACUGACGUUGAGGCUCGAAGGCGUGGGUAGCAAACUGGAUUAGAUACCCCCGUAGUCCCUGUCUCUUAUAC
rnacentral:rRNA from 1 species